rnacentral:rRNA from 1 species
UACGAAGGGGGCUAGCGUUGUUCGGAAUUACUGGGCGUAAAGCGCGCGUAGGCGGACUGACAAGUCGGGGGUGAAAUCCCGAGGCUCAACCUCGGAACUGCCUUCGAUACUGUCAGUCUUGAGUUCGGGAGAGGUGAGUGGAACUGCGAGUGUAGAGGUGAAAUUCGUAGAUAUUCGCAAGAACACCAGUGGCGAAGGCGGCUCACUGGCCCGAUACUGACGCUGAGGCACGGAAAAGCGUGGGGAGCAAACAGGG